UACAGAGGUCCCAAGCGUUGUUCGGAUUCAUUGGGCGUAAAGGGUGCGUAGGCGGCGCGGUAAGUCGGGUGUGAAAUCUCGGAGCUUAACUCCGAAACUGCAUUCGAUACUGCCGUGCUUGAGGACUGGAGAGGAGACUGGAAUUUACGGUGUAGCGGUGAAAUGCGCAGAUAUCAGGAGGAACACCGGUGGCGAAGGCGGCACUCUGGGACGGUACUGACGCUGAGGCGCGAAAGCUGGGGGAGCGAACGGG
rnacentral:rRNA from 1 species